UGGAAUUACACCUGAUUACAUACAUGAGUGUGUGUGUCAGUGUGUCAGUGUGUGUGUCAGUGUGUGUGUCAGUGUGUGUCUUCCCCCAGGGCAGGGUAAUUUGAAUGCGUUAAUCAGAGCCCAACAUGAUUGAUUGGGCGUGUGUGUAAAGGCAGCAGGGAUGUCCUUCAGAAAGACAGUGUAACAGUAAGUCUGAGCACACACACACACACACACACACACACACACAGAGUCAUGUAGGCGUGAUGCUUUUGUGUCAGUGUAGAUUGUUCCUCCUCACAGUUUGGAGUCGUAUGUUUUUCAGUCGGUUAUAAAAAAAGACGAACAGCGACGUUGAACUCGCUCUAAAAUGAUCCCACAUUAUUCCUCACAGCGUGGAUCUCCUCGUGUCCUCGGGCUCGAGGAAAAACACAGAGGAGGUAAAAAAUGGACAAGACGCGGGAGAGCGGAGAAGAGAGCAGAACCCCCCCGCCGCCGCCCCCCAUUUACUUGGACAGCAAUGCAAUAGAAGAGUCUAAAAAUAGAUGAAGAAGAUCUCAGCGUGGACCAGCAGCAUGGAGAAGAAAUGGAGAUGGGUAAUAAACAUAUGGUGAUGAGUCUGGAGCCUGGCCUACUUUAAACACAAACACGUCUUUACUCGAACCACAGCCUUGAAGAUUGAUCCUGUCUGCCAACAAAUAACGAAGCUGGGGACGUGUGAGAGGAAUUAGGUCCAAUUAAGACGAAGACGAGGGAGGAUGGGAGACGAGGAGGAGGAGGGGGGAUAAAGGACCUGCAGGGAGGAGAGAGAGGAGCCGCCAACCUCAGCAACCAAACCUGCUCCUUCACCUCCCUCUGAGAGACGACCUUUGACCUCACCGGGUCGCUGCAGACCAAUGAUAACACCUUAAACACACACACACACACACACACAGCAGCCUGUCAGACACGCAGAAAAGCUGCAGACACACACUUUAGUCAGCUUUUGUCUUAGAACACACACACACAUUGCUCUGUGUUACAUCAGAUUAGAUUAUAACAACACUCACGGCUCUCUCACACACACUCACACAGACACACACACACACACACACACACUCUUUCUGCUCUGAUUUUUAUUUCCUCUUCCUCGGUGUCGCCUCGUGUUUGCUGAGCUGCAGAUCCACCGACGUUGUUCAGGAUCUUCUCUCAGCAUCUUUUACUUCUGAACUCAGAUUAUCCUUCAGUUUUCCAACAGACUUAAGAGGCUGAAAAGUGUCAAAAAUAAAGUCUAAACAGUGUGGAAUCAAAACAACAAGCUGACAUGAUGUUUUUAAAAUGAGACUUCAGCUCCUUCACACAGAUCUGAAAUAAUAAUCUACGGUGUGACCUGAAAAAUCUCCCUCCU